GGGGAAUUGUUCGCAAUGGGCGCAAGCCUGACGACGCAACGCCGCGUGGAGGAUGAAGAUUUUCGGAUCGUAAACUCCUGUCGAAUGGGACGAAUAGAUUGUGGGCUAACAGCCCAUGGUCCUGACGGUACCGUUAAAGGAAACCCCGGCUAACUUCGUGCCAGCAGCCGCGGUAAUACGAAGGGUGCAAGCGUUACUCGGAAUUACUGGGCGUAAAGCGUGCGUAGGCGGUUUGUUAAGUCUGCCGUGAAAGCCCCGGGCUCAACCUGGGAAUUGCGGUGGAUACUGGCAGGCUAGAGUGCGGUAGAGGGUGGUGGAAUUCCCGGUGUAGCAGUGAAAUGCGUAGAGAUCGGGAGGAACAUCUAUGGCGAAGGCAGCCACCUGGACCAGCACUGACGCUGAGGCACGAAAGCGUGGGGAGCAA
rnacentral:rRNA from 1 species